rnacentral:lncRNA from 1 species
AAAAAUUUUUUUUAAAAAGAAAGAGGUAACUAUAAAGAAUGGAUAGGGAGGACUGAACUCAAAGUUGAGUGUAAGCUCUCUCAAGACUCAAGUUUGAAAGAGCAUAUAGCAUAUAAAAUAUGUGUAAGUAUGCAGAAUGAGCUUUAUGGAUGAGCAACUAUGCUAAUUGUCAUUUCAAUUAUCUUUAGACAUCUUCCUACUACUCUGCUGCUAAAGAAUUAAUUUAAUGGAGUGCUGCAGAUGAAAUUCCUACAAUUAUUGCUAACAAAUUGUGAUUUUUCUGCCAUUAACCACUUUAGUAGAAGUGGAUAUAGAUUUGAAGUUGCCCAUCCCACCACCACCA